rnacentral:misc_RNA from 1 species
AAUAACUUGUUAGUUGUUGAGUGAAAUAAUUUAGAGUACCACUUCCUAGCAUAUCAGCUUCUUUCUCUUGAUGCAUUUCCGGCAGCUUUUCAAAUGUUUUAUAUUCAAUGCAUGCCUGUGAACUGGCUGCCACUGCAAAACUGAAAAUUUUGUAAAUAUAUGGUAUAUAUUCAUAUAAAUGUGAAGAAUAUGUUGGUUUUCAUGAUGAGAUCAACUUGGCAUUCAAAU